CCUGGACCCGCGCCCCUGAGGGGCUUGCGGGUGGCUAUUCCGGCCGCCGAUCCGCCGGAGCAAU
rnacentral:ncRNA from 12 species